rnacentral:rRNA from 1 species
ACGCACGCUGGCGGCGUGCUUCACACCUGCAGGUCGAACGGAAAGGCCUGCUUUCCCUUGUGGAUUGCGGGUACUCGAGUGGCGAACGGGUGAGUAACACGUGAGUGAUCUGCCCCCAACUUGGGUAUAAGCCUGGGAAACUGGGUCUAAUUCCCGAUAGGACUGCAGGGUGGUGCCUGUGGUGGAAAACGAUUUUCUAGUGGUUGGGGAUGAGCUCGCGGCCUAUCAGCUUGUUGGUGGGGUAAUGGCCUACCAAGGCGGCGACGGGUAGCCGGCCUGAGAGGGUGGACGGCCACAUUGGGACUGAGAUACGGCCCAGACUCCUACGGGAGGCAGCAGUGGGGAAUAUUGCACAAUGGGCGGAAGCCUGAUGCAGCGACGCCGCGUGGGGGAUGACGGCCUUCGGGUUGUAAACUCCUUUCGACCGCGAGGAAGCCACCUGGUUGGAAGGGUGGUGACGGUAGUGGUAGAAGAAGCACCGGCUAACUACGUG